GAUGAACGCUGGCGGCGUGCCUAAUACAUGCAAGUCGAGCGAACAGACGAGGCGCUUGCUCCCCUGACGUAAGCGGCGGAUGGGGGAGCAGCACGUGGAUAAACUACCUAUAAGACUGGGAUAACCUCGGGAAUCCGAGGCUAAUACCGGAGUAUAUAUUGCAUAGCAUGGCUCAAUAGCAUAAUACGGUUUUGAUGACACCUAUAGUAGGAUCUGCGCCGCGUUAUCUAGUUGGUAAGGUAACGGUUUACCAAGGCAACGAUGGCUAUCCGACCUGAGAGAGAGGUUGGCCAGACGAGAAGAGAGACACGGCCCAGACACCGACGGUAGGCAGCAGUAGGGAAUCUUCCGCAAUGGGGGAGUGCCGGACGGAGCAACGCCGCGGGAGUGAUGAAGGACUUCGGAUCGUAAAGCUCUGUAAUUAGGGAAGAACAAAUGUGUAAGUAACUAUGCACGUCUUGACGGUACCUGAUCAGAAAGCCACGGCUAACUACGUG
rnacentral:rRNA from 1 species